rnacentral:rRNA from 1 species
CCUACGGGUGGCAGCAGUCGGGAAUAUUGCGCAAUGGAGGAAACUCUGACGCAGUGACGCCGCGUGCAGGAAGAAGGUUUUCGGAUUGUAAACUACUUUAAACAGGGAGGAAAAAAGACAGUACCUGUAGAAUAAGCACCGGCUAACUACGUGCCAGCAGCCGCGGUAAUACGUAGGGAGCAAGCGUUAUCCGGAUUUAUUGGGUGUAAAGGGCUCGGAGACGGAGAAGCAAGUUAGUUGUGAAAUCCCUGGGCUUAACUGAGGAACUGCAACUAAAACUAGUUCCCUUGAGUACUGGAGAGGAAAGUGGAAUUGCUAGUGUAGCGGUGAAAUGCGUAGAUAUUAGGAGGAAUACCGGUGGCGAAGGCGACUUUCUGGACAGUAACUGACGUUGAGGCACGAAAGUGUGGGGAGCAAACAGGAUUAGAUACCCGAGUAGUC